rnacentral:rRNA from 1 species
GUCUCUGGCCAUGCCAUCCUGAACAAGUCUGAUGUCUGUUCUUGGAAGUUUAGCAGGGUUGGGCCUGGUUAGUACUUGGAUGGGAGACCACCUAGGAAGACCAGGUGCUGUAGGCA